AUUAACCGCUACGGGAUUUGUCCGGAGUAGUCUUUUUCUUCCAAUUUCCAAUUUUCUCUACAGAGCUAAAAAAGACUACUCCGGACAAAUCCCGUAGCGGUUAAUCAA
rnacentral:pre_miRNA from 13 species